rnacentral:lncRNA from 1 species
UUAGUCUUUCGUCAAUAAUAAAACCGCAUGUCAUCUUCUAGUAUGAACACGAGUAGGGAAGCCUGGAUUAAUAACACAAACAGAGGUCAGCAAAAACUCACGAACACUGCCCUACUACUGCAUGUCAUCGCACAGGCGCAGGCGAGGACGCAUUCGAUCACCUUACUGAAACACAUCAUAGAUGCCGCUUGCGCCACUGCAGUGCCGGCGUU